AAUUAACGCUGGCAGAGUGCAUAACACAUGCAAGUCGAGCGAAACUAGUCGCAAGAUUAGUUUAGCGGCAGACGAGUGAGUAACACGUAAAGAAUCUACCCUUGAAUGGCGAAUAACCAAUCGAAAGGCUGGCUAAUACGCCGUACUCUCCCUUGAAGGCAUCUUCGAGGGAGGAGAGAUCCGCAAGGAUCGUUCUUGGAGGACUUUGCGGCCCAUCAGCUAGUUGGCGGUGUAAUAGACCACCAAGGCUACGACGGGUACCCGGCCUGAAAGGGCGGACGGGCACGAUGGGCACUGAGACACGGGCCAUACUCCUACGGAGGCAGCAGUGGGGAAUUUUGGACAAUGGGCGAAAGCCUGAUCCAGCAACUCUGCGUGAGGGACGAAGGUCUUCGGAUCGUAAACCUCUUUUACAUGGGAAGAAUACCCCGCAAGGGUUCGACGGUACCAUGUGAAUAAGCCACGGCUAACUAUGUGCCAGCAGCCGCCGCGGUAAC
rnacentral:rRNA from 1 species